rnacentral:rRNA from 1 species
UUGCUCCUCGGUCUUCUUUGUGUGUGGCCUCGGCGCGGCCUCGGCAGGCGGCACGGCCGGCGCUCGGUCGCGUGGCGGCCCGGGGGCGGGGCGGGGAGCCUCCCACCUCCUCUCCUCUCCCUCCUGCUCCUGCUCCUCCUCCGGGGUCCUCAGGGCGCCCCCUUCGAAGAUCUUCGACGGCCUCCGCCUCGCCCCCGCUCCCGUCGCGCUAGAGCGGGCUCGGACGGCGCGCCUCCUCCGCGGCCCGCCCCGCGGAGGGCCCACGGCCGCGGGGGGCACUGAACUUACCUUCCGUCUAGAGCUCCCGCUCCCCUCGAAGAUCUUCGCCCGACUCCUCCGCGCCAAUCAAGCAAUCCCAAACCGGACCGCCACCCCCCGCCCCGCCCUACCCCCCUCCGAGCCUCCCUCCUCCUCUGCGCCUGCUCCCGACGACGUCGCAGCCCCUGUGGAGCGGCCCCUGGUAGCACACCCACGCGGCCUCCUUGCCGAGGACCACCGGGCCGUCCUAGGACCCGGUUAGGCUCGACGGCGGCAGCGUCUAGUACAGAGGUUCCAGGCCGUGCGGCCAGUUCGAAGAGCCGGCGCUCCUGCGGUCGCAACUGACCAUGUUGGAACUCUUUAGUUUCGCGCAAUUUCGUAAAUCCACACCCCUCAAGCUACGGACGUAACUCUCCCGUCUCCGAUGAGUUCCCUGAGAAAGCUUCUUUUCUCUCUUUAUACGUGCCUCUCUUCUACGGUAAGAAGUACGGGAACUUAAUCUCUCCUUUGACGUAGUCUGAGUUCCAAAGUCUGGACGGAUGAAAAGACGAACGUGCUUUGUAGCGUUUCUGGAACCUUCAUGAGCGAUGUUCUCGUUUUUCUCCUUUUCUUUUCUACAUAGACGAGAAGGACGUUUUUUUCUUCGACCCGUCAUAAAAGAGUUACGGCCAAACUUCUAUUUGAAAAGUCUCAGCGUCUCGUGGAGUCUCUUAGAAUAGUCAUUGGUGUAACCUCUGAAUAGGGUACACUCUGUAUAAGUCCCACCUCGUUCAAAUCUCUCGUUCCUCUUAACAUGUUAACACUUUUUCUUAUCUAGCCUACCUUCACUAAAGCUACUUAGAUAACUUUUUACACUGUCUGUGGCUGGUGAACAAGUUCAGAACGUCUCGUCACGUUUGAACUGCGUCGUGAGCGGCGUGUUACUACUAAUACCCCGAUAGAAUUAACCCCCUCUAUUUCUAGGUAGUGGACGGUGGAUAGCCCGAUUUUCUUCUCGACUAAAACUGUGGCUUUCAAUAGAAGUCGUAGGUCUAAGGAGAAGACUCCUUGUAUGUAGAAGUCUGAAACAACUCUUUGUGCAUAGACUCAGAAGUCUCUCCCUUACGAGUCUUUCACUUUGUCUUCUACUAUGCCUCGAAAACGUUUCACGAUUAUCCUAAGACGGAGGUCUCAAUGCGGGGGCACUAGGAAUAAAGGAAGCCUGAAGACUGUCCAAACCUGUACACCUAUUAAUACUACUACUACUACUACUGUUACUCCAGCGGAUAAGACGAAUAUACGUAGUUAACUUAGUUAGUCUCCUUCUCCUACCAAGAAGACUCGUCCCACAGAGGGCGACCGUAUAUUUUCCAUUUGCAUUAUUGGCAUCACGUCACUUCUUUAGUUGGGUAUACUGCCUACCUUUUAGGACAAACCUAUUUGGGUUACCAGAGUACUUUCCUAGACACAUGUUGUGUUUACCAUAUUUAGUAUCUUUUCUCUCACACGUCUGUAGGCUAGUCGUUCACGAAUCAUUGGUUUAGUUUCUCCUCGGGGUGAUACUAAGACUACUUUGUCUAGAUAAGCUCCCGUGUUCGGUGGGACUCCAAUUGAACAUAGUAUCAGCUUGUAUGGGUAGUAGGAACUUUCGAUGUUCUCUAGAAUCGGCUUCGAUAUAGAUAAUAUUACUGAUACUUUUACUAAGAAGGUUCUAAAGAGGUGGAUUGACCCUAUGUCUAGUCUAUAAAGCACAACUAGCCUUCCGUAUAACCCUGCUUGGAAGUAAAAUGGUUUCUUUACCGUCAAGUGCAAACCCAGCGUACCCGGGUUACAACAAACUAUAACUGAACUUCCAGGUUCGGUCGAUGGUACCUCUCGUACAAGGAGAACAAAGGAACUACUCGUCUGACCUACCGUUUCGUUAACAACCUGUGGGAUAGGUUUAACUUUAUGAACAACUACCAAGGUGACUGGUGGACCAAAGACCACCACUAUAAUCAUACCUUCUCUCGUGUCCUCGAGGUUGACGGACCGUAUGUCCGUCCUCCUGUCGGUACGUUUCUUAAGGGGCAAGAUUAGGAAAUCCUCGUAGUUACCUGACACCGUUACUUCCGUCCGAACGUAUAAGUCUGACCCUUUACUUUGGUCAGAAGUCAUUUAUGAGUUGAAGGCGUUUAGUGGUCCAAUUCCCACUAUUCUUUUCGUACAGUUUAUCAUUCUUCUCCAGUAGCCGUAGGUUUAGAGUUUUCUUCGGUAGGUUCUUCCGUUCAGACAGUUCGGUCUUCCAGUCUUGGGAGAGAAGGUAAGGGUGACCUUCUUCCGUAGUACUUCCACCGUGAGUUCGUUUCGGCGCAUGCGUGUCACCGUAAAAGCCACUGAACUAGUUUGGUCUGCCUCGUUAAGGUGGUCAAUGUACACAGGGACGUUUCCAACACAAGUGUUCCUAUGACCUUCGUCAACCAUCCGGUGGAGAUCGACGACGAGCGGCACACUCUUACCAAUCAGGACUCCGUGUUCUAGGUUGUAUCCUUAGUUGUCCUUACGGUUCAUACCAACCAUAGACACAGGACGUUCAAGGUACAUGUAAAUACAUUUAACUUCUCAGUUCGAUAAGUUAGUAAACCCGACGUAGUAAACCUAUUGAGUCCCUAUCGACGCGAGAAGUUGUCAUUACUGUUGUAGUUGUACAUUUCUAGCCAUUGCCAAUAUAUGAAGAUUGACCUCCAACUCUAGUUAAUCCGAGAGUUGUGCUCACGAAGAGUCAAGAGCCUGUUGUCAAGUCGGUUGCUGGAGGUGAUUCCCCCUCGUAGGAAAUCUUCCCGCGUUGAUCGCAACCAUUGGUACCGAAAACCGUCACAGAGGACAUUUCAUGAUUGAAGUCGUAAAAUCCUACAGAUAAAUAUAUUUGAAGACAUAGCAGUACAUCAGUUAUCCGGUAUAUAAAGGACUACAGUACAUAUUCAGGAGUUAACAUAAGAGUGGUCUAGAGGCACAAUAAAUAACAGCUACCAAUUAUCCAGGAGGCUGAUACAAACCUUCUUACACAUCAUUCAACUACAUUAUACACUCUUGAUGUGGCCAGUGGUUUACUACAAUUGUCAUUAAAAGAGACACUUCAAAUGCACUUAUGAGCACAAAACAAGCACAUAGGUGAGACUAGCCAUGUAAAGUUCGACAC